UUAAUUGAAGAGUUUGAUCAUGGCUCAGAUUGAACGCUGGCGGCAGGCCUAACUCAUGCAAGUCGAGCGGCAGCACAGAGGAACUUGUUCCUUGGGUGGCGAGCGGCGGACGGGUUAGUAAUGCCUGGGAAAUUGCUCGGUAGAGGGGAUAACCAUUGGAAACGAUGGCUAAUACCGCAUAACCUCGUAAGAGCAAAGCAGGGGACCUUCGGGCCUUGCGCUACCGGAUAUGACCAGGUGGGAUAAAAUAGUCCGUGAGGUAAGGGCUCACCAAGGCGAUGAUCCCUAGCUGGUCUGAGAGGAUGAUCAGCCACACUGGAACUGAGAAAAGGUCCAGACAAAUACGGGAGGCAGCAGUGGGAAUAUUGCACAAUGGGCGCAAGCCUGAUGCAGCCAUGCCGCGUGUAUCAAGAAGGCCUUCGGGUUGAAAAGAACUUUCAGUAGGGAGGAAGGUGGUUAAGUUAAUACCUUAAUCAUUUGACGUUACCUACAGUAGAAGCACCGGCUAACUCCGUGCCAGCAGCCGCGGUAAUACGGAAGGUGCAAGCGUUUAUCGGAAUUACUGGGCGUAAAGCGCAUGCAGGUGGUUUGUUAAGUCAGAUGUGAAAGACCUGGGCUCAACCUAGGAAUCGCAUUUGAAACAUUUAAGCUAGAGUACUGUAGAGGGGUAGAAUUUCAGGUGUAGCGGUGAAAUGCGUAGAGAUCUUUAGGAAUAUUGGUGGCGAAGGCGGCCCCUGGACAGAUACUGACACUCAGAUGCGAAAGCUUGGGGAGCAAACAGGAUUUGAUACCCUGGUUUUCCACGCCGUAAACGCUGUCUACUUGGAGGUUGUGCCCUAGAGGUGUGGCUUUCGGAGCUAACGCGUUAAGUAGACCGCCUGGGGAGUUUGGUCGCAAGAUUAAAACUCAAAUGAAUUGACGGGGCCCGCACAAGCGGUGGAGCAUAAGGUUUAAUUCGAUGCAACGAGAAGAACCUUACCUACGCUUGACAUCCAGAGAAUCUAGCGUUUACGCUGGAGUGCCUUCGGGAAAAAUGAGACAGGUGCUGAAUGGCUGUCGUCAGCUCUUGUUGUGAAAUGUUGGGUUAAGUCCCGCAACGAGCGCAACCCUUAUCCUUGUUUGCCAGCACGUAAUGGUAGGAAAUCCAGGAGACUGCCGGUGAUAAACUGGAGGAAGGUGGGGACGACGUCAAGUCAUCAUGGCCCUUACGAGUAGGGCUACACACGUGCUACAAUGGCGUAUACAGAGGGCAGCGAUACCGCGAGGUGGAGCGAAUCUCACAAAGUACGUCGUAGUCCGGAUUGAGUCUGCAUUUCGACUCCAUGAAGUCGGAAUCGCUAGUAAUCGCAAAUCAGAAUGUUGCGGUGAAUACGUUCCGGGCCUUGUACACACCGCCCGUCACACCAUGGGAGUGGGCUGCAAAAGAAGCAGGUAGUUUAACCUUCGGGAGGACUUGCCACUUUGUGGUUCAUGACUGUGGUAAAGUCGUAACAAGGUAGCGCUAGGGAACCUGGCGCUGGAUCACCUCCUUACACGA
rnacentral:rRNA from 1 species